rnacentral:rRNA from 1 species
UUAUUCGGAUUCACUGGGCGUAAAGGGUGCGCAGGCGGCCGUGUGUGUGGGGCGUGAAAGCCCGGGGCUUAACCCCGGAAUUGCACCUCAAACUACAUGGCUAGAGCAUUGGAGAGGGUAGCAGAAUUCAUGGUGUAGCAGUGAAAUGCGUAGAUAUCAUGAGGAAUACCAGAGGCGAAGGCGGCUACCUGGACAAUUGCUGACGCUCAGGCACGAAAGCGUGGGGAGCAAAAGGG